rnacentral:rRNA from 1 species
GUGGCGAACUGGUGAGUAACACGUGGGAAACCUGCCCAGAAGCGGGGGAUAACACCUGGAAACAGAUGCUAAUACCGCAUAACAACUUGGACCGCAUGGUCCGAGUUUGAAAGAUGGCUUCGGCUAUCACUUUUGGAUGGUCCCGCGGCGUAUUAGCUAGAUGGUGGGGUAACGGCUCACCAUGGCAAUGAUACGUAGCCGACCUGAGAGGGUAAUCGGCCACAUUGGGACUGAGACACGGCCCAAACUCCUACGGGAGGCAGCAGUAGGGAAUCUUCCACAAUGGACGAAAGUCUGAUGGAGCAACGCCGCGUGAGUGAAGAAGGGUUUCGGCUCGUAAAACUCUGUUGUUAAAGAAGAACAUAUCUGAGAGUAACUGUUCAGGUAUUGACGGUAUUUAACCAGAAAGCCACGGCUAACUACGUGCCAGCAGCCGCGGUAAUACGUAGGUGGCAAGCGUUGUCCGGAUUUAUUGGGCGUAAAGCGAGCGCAGGCGGUUUUUUAAGUCUGAUGUGAAAGCCUUCGGCUCAACCGAAGAAGUGCAUCGGAAACUGGGAAACUUGAGUGCAGAAGAGGACAGUGGAACUCCAUGUGUAGCGGUGAAAUGCGUAGAUAUAUGGAAGAACACCAGUGGCGAAGGCGGCUGUCUGGUCUGUAACUGACGCUGAGGCUCGAAAGUAUGGGUAGCAAACAGGAUUAGAUACCCUGGUAGUCCAUACCGUAAACGAUGAAUGCUAAGUGUUGGAGGGUUUCCGCCCUUCAGUGCUGCAGCUAACGCAUUAAGCAUUCCGCCUGGGG